CGGGCAUCUUCCGUCCCCGGCGUUCCGACCCUAUGCCAGGGGCCGUCGCCGUGCCCGUUCCCGGAGCCGGGGUUUGGGCUGCGUCCCGUUCCCGAGACUAGGACUCAUGGCUUCCUCUGUUCCUGGCACAGGAAUGCAUUUGAGGAGCUGCUGGUGCAGGACAAAGCAUGACUCAACAGCAAGGCAGGAUGCUGGUGAGGAAACACUAAGAUGGAGACAACUAGUACAGAUUUCUUGCAAAACUGAAAUAAUUUUGAAAAAGAACAGCUAUUGUCAUGGGUAAUUACAGGAACUGCAAU